rnacentral:lncRNA from 1 species
UUUUUUUUUUUUUUUUUUUUGGAGUUGCUCUGUUGCCCAGGCUGAGUGCAGUGGUGCGAUCUUGGCUCACUGCAACCUCUGCCUCCCAGGUUCAAGCAAUUCUCCUGCCUCCGCCUCCUGAGUAGCUGGCAUUACAGGCACACGCCACCACAUCUGCCUACACAGUUGUUUUGAAAGGAAGAGAACACUGAUUCCAGGGGCUUAUCCCAGGAAUGGACGUCAGUUUAUGAGUGGACACAGCGUAUCAGGCAAGUGUUCUUGUGCAUCUGGCUAGCCGUCCUUGUGACUCACGUAGCGAGCUGCAAAGUCCUGGCAAAAAAAUUUAAAAAAAAAAGGUCUUGUUUCAGGCGUCUGCGCCUCAGAGCCCUUCCCAGAGGCUUCGGAAGGGCUCUGAUCACAGGCAGGUGUGCGGGUGGGGUCUCCUUCACAACCUCCCGGCUACAUUAUUUUGUUGUUGCUCUUACGGUUGGACAAAAGUGGCUCCAUUUUGAUUCUGACAACUUUCACAGAGCCGGGGGCUCAGGGCUGUUGUGAAGACUUAAUUAGUGCAGGGUCUGCUGCAGAGUUAGCAGGGGGAGCAGGGGGGAAGAGGUGAACCCUGACCUUCAUGAACACGAGGUAAGUCCUGAACACCCUUGAAACCUGUUUCCGAUCUGAGGGUCUGCACACCACACAGUGGGCCAAAUGGUAGCGGAAGCAGUUCCUUCCUAGAGCACAAAUCUCUUAAAUUCCUAAUUAAGGGCUGUGUAGGCAGGACCUCCCUCUGUCCCAUCCCACCUACCAGGGAGGGACAUCCAGGCAUUCCUCACACACAGAAGAACUUGGGUCAGGUACCUGGGAUGGGAACAAGAAGGGACUGUCCCACCCCCAAGGCAGGAGACACCCCAACCUCCUCCCCACGGGCUUCCUGGGGAGGCCUCUCAACAGGCCAUGGAGCCUCCCUCAGCAGCACAAGCAGGGCAUUGGGGCCUCAGCCUGCGGGAAGCUGCAGGCACAGGAGCAGGUUCAGUGAAGGGGGCGUUUAGCCAGGCACCCUGAGCCCUGAUCUGGCCACCCCCCAGCAGUAGUGACAUUGGCAGGGAUGGCUGGCAGGUGAGCCCUAGUGCAUGGUUGUCCCCUGAGAGUGAGGAACAAAAGACAAUUCUGCCCUGAAAGGUGCUUCGGGCAUCUAUAUGGAUGUGUGGAAAGGAAAGUUUAUGAAGUCAAGGAUGCGGCAAUUGUGUUUAGUGGUUUAACUUUGAUCUUAUAUGACAGGAACCAGGAGGACAAUUGUAUUCCAAUAGCGCUCUGGUGAGUUGAAAACCUGUUUUUGUUUUGUUUUUUUUUUUGAGACGGAGUCUCGCUCUGUCGCCCAGGCUGGAGUACAGUGGCCGGAUCUCAGCUCACUGCAAGCUCCGCC